rnacentral:rRNA from 1 species
CCUGGUUGAUCCUGCCAGUAGUAUAUGCUUGUCUCAAAGAUUAAGCCAUGCAUGUGUAAGUUCACAUGGUUGGUACAGUGAAACUGCGAAUGGCUCAUUAAAUCAGUUAUGGUUCCUUUGAUCGCUCCAUCUGUUACUUGGAUAACUGUGGUAAUUCUAGAGCUAAUACAUGCCGACGAGUGAGGACCUCCCGGGAUGCGUGCAUUUAUCAGACAAAGACCAGUCCGGGGCUGAUCGCACGCCCCGUGAUAGCAACGAUGCAUUCGGAUGUCUGCCCUAUUAACUUUCGAUGGUACUUUCUGUGCCUACCAUGGUGACCACGGGUAAUGGGGAAUCCGGGUUUGAUUCCGGAGAGGGAGCCUGAGAAACGGCUACCACAUCCCAGGAAGGCAGCGGGCGUGCACAUUACCCACUCCUGACUCUGGGAUGUAGUGAUGAACAAUACAGGACUCUUUUGAGGCACUGUAAUUGGAAUGAGUACACUUUAUAUCCUUUUAACGAGUACCCAUUGGAGGGCAAGUCUGGUGCCAGCUGCCGCGUUAAUUCUAGCUCCAAUAGCGUAUAUUAAAGUUGCUUCAGUUAAAAAGCUUGUUGUUGAUUCUUGGGAUCGAGCUGGCGGACCGCUGAGAGGCGAGAUACGCCUUUCCCAGGCCCUGCCUCUCGACACCCCCUUGUUGCUCUUGACUGAGUCUCCUGGGGGUCCGAAGCGUUUACUUUGAAAAAAUUAGUGUUCAAAGCAGGCCGGCCGCCUGAAUACUUCAGCUAGGAAUAAAGGAAUAGGACUCCGGUUCUAUUUUGUUGGUUUUCGGAACUGGGGCCAGGUGGCAUUCGUGUUGUGCCUCUACAGUUGAAAUUCAUGGACCGGCGCAAGACGAACCAAAGUGAAAGCAUUUCUCAAGAAUGUUUUCAUUAAUCAAUAACGAAAGUCUGAGAUUCGAAGACGAUCCGAUACCGUUGUAGUUCCGACCAUAACCUAUGCCAACUAGCAAUCUGGCUGUGUUCUUCCCAUGAACGGUCGAGCAGCUACCGGGAAACCAAACUCUUUGGGUUCCGGGGGAGUAUGGUUGCAAAGAUGAAACUUAAAGGAAUUGACGGAAGGGCACCACCAGGAGUGGAGCCUGCGGCUUAAUUUGACUCAGCACCGGAAACCUCACCCGGCCCGGACACGAAAGGAUUGACAGAUUGAUAGCUCUUUCUCGAUAAUGUGGGUGGUGGUGCAUGGCCGUUCUUAGUUGGUGGAGCGAUUUGUUUGGUUAAUUUCAAUAAUAAACGAGGACUCCUUCAUGCUAAUUAGUUGCGCGACCUGCCAGUGGUCGGUGUUCAACUUCUUAGAGGGACAAGUGGGGUUCGGCCACACGAGAUCGAGCAAUAACAGGUCUGUGAUGCCCUUAGAUGUCCGGGGCUUCACGCCCGCUACACUGAACUGAUCAGCGUGUGUCUACCCUUCCCCGACAGGUGCACUUAACCUGCUGAACACCAUUUGUGGUAGUGAUUGGGGAUUGCAAUUAUUUCCCAUGAACAAGGAAUUGCCAGUAAGUGCGGGUCAUACGUUUGCAUUGAUUAAGUACCUGCCCAUUGUACUCACCACCCGUCGCUACUACAGAUUGGAUGGUUUAGUGAGGUCCUCGGAUCGGCCCCGCCGCGGUAUGCAAAGGCCCUGGCGGUGCGGCAAGAAGACGAUCAAACUUGACUAUCUAGAGGAAGUAAAAGUCGUACGAAUUGGGUUAACCUGCCAGGGACG